CCUGGACCAAGUUCCAGCGUCGUGGACACGGGCCUUUAGGAAUCCUGUCGUUAUUUGGAGCGUAUUCGCGUAAUUUGUUUUCGGACACAAUUGCUUCGCAAAAUUUUCGUAUUUCCGUGUCGUCUUUAUUGUUCCUCAAUCAAUCUGCAAGAUUACCGCGUCACAUUCGCCCUCUUUUCAAUUUACAAUCCAGCUUACGUCUAGAUUCGCAACUUAACUAAUUUACAACUCCGAAUUAAUUCAGAACAAUCCAACUAAACUUCUCCCCCACACUCUAAUCAGACCUCCGUUUCCGCGCUCUUUUCUAUUUUCUCUUUCACUCUCUUAUAUUUUCCCCUCUCUUGCCUCUCUCACUUUUCAGAUUUCCAUUAAUCUGAGAAAUGACAUCUUCCCACCCAAUUUUCUCCCUGGAAUAAAUUUCCGCAGCGGGUUGCGCUCGCGGAAUCGGUAACGAUACGAAAAUCAGCCGCGAAGAGAAAUCACUCGCGGGAGAUGUAUUAAUACUCACGUAAUCAAUAUUGACCUCUCCUUUAUACAUGAAGUCAAUCAGCACUUCUAGGUCAGAAAAUUUGACGUCACGGAGGAUGAUGACAGGGUCCUUCUCCUUAUUCUCCGAUAGGAUCGUAUCAAAAAACGUGCUGUACGCCGACAAUAUAAACUGCGAACACGCGAGCCGGGCGCGAUUGUUAAUCAUUUAUGCGACGAUUUUAUCUGCGAAGAGCGCGAAGGGAGCCGUGUAAAAUAAAGCGCGUAGCGCAGAAGUCGCAACUUAAAAUUCUACAUGCGCUAUGAACAGCCGCACGAGGCGUUACGUGUCGGACAUAUCGAUAACAGGCGGGUGUUAAGGAUGUAUCUGAGAUACAAUCAUUGACAAAAAUCCCCCAAAUUCGAAAAACUGGCAUAUCUACGCUAAACGUGCAGUAAACCUAGUGAUAACUGAUAUAAAUGAUAACUAACAUAAUAUAUUUAUUUUAAAAAGUUAUUUUUCACAUUUUUCAGCACUUUAUUAGGUUUAUUUGCCAUUUUACAACUUUUUACAAUAAAACUUUUGGCAGUGAAAAUGCCCAGAAUGCAACCUUAGAACAUCAAAUUUCUUAUUUAUUUAACACCAUUAUUUAACAGUGUAAUACAGAAAAAGUAAUUGGAAUAUAGUUAAAAAGGUUGAUAGCAAUGCACUUUUGACAUUGCGAGCUAACUUCUGUUUAGUCCUGCAUCGCAAUGUCAAAAGCCACAAAAAUGUAUCGGUGGAAAGGCAAAAUAAUUAGCGAAAGUACGUAUCGAAAGAGACUUGCGCAACAAAGAUGUGGAUUUUUAAGAAGAAAAGUUCAAAUUGUACAAGAAGAAAAAACUGAGCCUACCAUGGAGGAAAAUGUGAGCGAGAAACCAGAGUUUAUGUUGUUUAUCAAAAUUAUUUAAUUUUUAUUCUUGUUCUCUAAAUGAAAACAAUACAGAUAAAACGAGACUUUACGACGUGACUACUGUAUCGGUCAGGUUAUUCGUUUGACACGUUCAGCUGAUUGCGACGUUGCCGCACUUCUACAGUCCAGUAAUUGACAUAUUACAGAAACCGCAAAAUUGUCAUGAAUAAUAAUUAAUUUCUCCUAAACCGUGUUGUGAAACCUAAUCGAAUUUUGCACAAAGUUCCAAUAAUCCAUGGUCUAUAUGUAUAAAAAAAAUUAAAAUUUUGGUACUAUUUUUUCUAUACUUUAUUACUUAUUUCAUUCAAGAAAAUUGCGUUUCCCAUAAGAACACGUGUAAAAUCAGACAUAAUUGAAAUAAUAAUUACUCUCUAACGAUUUAGUAAAUCUACUUAAAAUUUUUUUCAGUAUAUUACAGAUAACAAAGGAAGUGUUUCCCGAAGUUUCAUCAAUUUGGUACUAUUUUGAAAUAGCUCAGAUACAUCCUUAA